AUAACUAUCUUGAGUAUUAGUUUAAAUUUAACAAUGAGCUUGUAUGUAUGUCCUAGGUAAUAGAUUAUAUUCCUUUGGAUUCUUGCCUUUUUUUUUUAGCCAUACAUAUGUCAUAUAUAUUAGAGUUUUGCAUCAUAAUUAUUUGUUAUCAUGAAUUUUUCUAACCCUAUUUCAUUACAUGUAAGCACACUAUAAGUUAUGCAUGCUAUCCAGGUACGCCCCUUCCCCC
rnacentral:lncRNA from 1 species